GCAGUGGUGGUUUAGUGGUAGAAUUCUUGCCUCCUAUGCAGGUGACCCAGGUUUGAUUCCUGGCCAAAGCA